AAAAUUUUAUAUUUUUAUUUAAUAAUUAGGUAAUUAGGGGUUUCAUAUUUUCAGGUAAUACUGGAUAAAUAAAAAAACUCCUUUACGCUGCGCAGUAAUACGUAAUGUAAAAUUACUUUACCCGAUUGCAUGAAAGAAAGUAAAGCGAACAGAGGUCCGGCAGACGCCGUUGGGUUCCAACAGAUGGAACAUAAGCAUACUGCGCUGGUGCCUAGACCAAAAUGUUCCAAAUUAUUGGAUCGAAUGUGGAUCAGCAUAAUCUCCAGGUCUAUUACCCUUGUCUUCAAAAAGUCAUCAUAUCAGUACACUUGGAUAGCUAGACUGUCAUUCUGGAGAUUUGCCAAAAAAUUGAUGCCAAAAUGACGAAACUUCCAACAGCCAACAAUUCAAAGAGGUAUUUUGUGCGGCGUUUCAAGAAAUCACUCACGAUACAUGGUUACAGAUGAGCAAGUGGAUGUGGAAACACAUUAAUGGAGAGUCACAAAGUUAUUUUGGAAUCGUAGCAGGUGAGGAAACAUCUAAGCAUGACUCUAAGAAAAGUAACUAAAACUACAUAACAGAAGAAAAAAUAGAGGAAACUUCAAAGCUGAUAUUCCUCCAAUUACAACUCAACAUCAAUUUUCAGUCUGUAUAAAUAAUUGUAGUAAUAAAAGCAAAACUUUAUUAUGGAA